rnacentral:rRNA from 1 species
UACGGAGGGAGCUAGCGUUGUUCGGAAUUACUGGGCGUAAAGCGCACGUAGGCGGCUUUGUAAGUUAGAGGUGAAAGCCCGGGGCUCAACCCCGGAAUUGCCUUUAAGACUGCAUCGCUUGAAUCCGGGAGAGGUGAGUGGAAUUCCUGGUGUAGCGGUGAAAUGCGUAGAUAUGCGGAGGAACACCGAUGGCGAAGGCAAUCCCCUGGACCUGUACUGACGCUCAUGCACGAAAGCGUGGGGAGCAAACAGG